GACGAACGCUGGCGGCGUGCUUAACACAUGCAAGUCGAACGGAAAGGCCCCUUUGGGGGUACUCUAGUGGCGAACGGGUGAGUAACACGUGAGUAACCUUCCCUUGACUUCUGGAUAACUUCAGGAAACUGGGGCUAAUACCGGAUAGGAAUCCUUGCUGCAUGGUGGGGGUUGGAAAGCUUCGGCGGUUUUGGAUGGACUCGCGGCUUAUCAGCUUGUUGGUGGGGUAGUGGCUUACCAAGGCUUUGACGGGUAGCCGGCCUGAGAGGGCGACCGGCCACAUUGGGACUGAGAUACGGCCCAGACUCCUACGGGAGGCAGCAGUGGGGAAUAUUGCACAAUGGGCGGAAGCCUGAUGCAGCAACGCCGCGUGCGGGAUGACGGCCUUCGGGUUGUAAACCGCUUUCAGCAGGGGCGAAGCUUGUGGUGACGGUACCUGAAGAAGAAGCACCGGCUAACUACGUG
rnacentral:rRNA from 1 species